UACACUAUCUUUGAUAACAAAGAGCACUGAGAGAAUUUUUGAAAUUAGUCUUUCUCCUUUGGUUGUUUUUUAUCAUUCAUGUCUUCUGAGCCUCCGUUUUUCCACAGAAUAAUUCCUAAUGCUUGGAACACCCACCAGUGUAACAAGAAUAAGUCCUUAACCUUAACACUGCCUCAGAACCAUGGUGGUUCUGAUGAUCACUUGCCACUAUACCAUUUUAAUGCAACUGAGAAGGAAAAACUAGACUACAACCCCAAGAAAAUUCCCUUAAAUCUGUUACCAAAAAUUGUUUGUCUAACUUUUGCUGCUUUGGGGUAUCAAACGAUCACAUCCCAAGACCAACCUUGUAUUCUUGGACCUGCUAUAGUGAUUGCUUUUGUAGCUUCACUCUCUGUGGUGUUAUUUUCAAACAAUGAUACCAUAACCCGUUCCUACCCACGGCUUGCAGCUAUUGUUGAGCUAAUUGGGUAUCUCUCUUUCACACUCAGUUUCUUGGUAAUGAUAAGAGUUUUCUUCUCUGGAAAUUUGAUCUUGUGGAUUAUCAUAGGAGGGUUGGCUAUGGGUUGGAUCAUGCUAAUCCUCCUUAUACGCUUAUUUACAUGAAGCUUGUCCCUCUACUGGUGAAUCAAUUAGGGUCAAGGACCCAUUAUGGGAUAAAUGUGAGCUCAGGAGCGAUGAAUAAAUCCUUUCAUCACUCCUCAUUACUCCCGAGCUCACAUUUAUUUCAAAAUGAGUCUAACUGGAUCCUACAAAAUCAACUUAUAAGAUGAGGAUUAUCUUCACUUAUAUAUUCUACUUUGACUAUAUUACUAGGCGAGGUAAGAUCUCCAAUGCAGCCAAGAAUUAAACAUCUUAAAUGAGAAGUUUGCAUAGCUUACACAUGUGUAGAAGAUUCGAUAACAUGUGAUACUAUAGGUCCAACCAUUAUAGUUACAUAGAUUGUGGUACUAUUCGGUGCUUGUUACGGUACAGGUUUGGUACAUGUACGCGACCUUGAAAAGAUUUGGUGCGUGGGAAUAUGCAUGUCGGUACGUUAUUUAAAUUUUAUCAUUUAUUUUUCUCUUAAAAAACCAGUAUAAUUUUUCAAUUACAAAUUAAUUAAUAGAUUGAUUUUAUUUUUUUUAUGUUUCUAAAAAAUAUAAGUUAGUUUACUCUGAUAAGAAAGUUAAGACAGCUUGAUUGUUUAUCUGGUUUGCCUCAAUUUGGUCCCUAUUGGCUGCAUAGAAAUUGCGUUAUCUUCAAAAAAUGAGGGUCCUAACGGUGAACGUACUUGUGUUUGUUUUGAUUGAAUUUAGAGCUUGGUCUUAACUGUCCAAUAAAAUGAAAGGCUUUUCCUUUUUUCUUUUAUGAAUGGUCAAUUAUCGAACCCUUGGAGUGUUUCAAGUGCUUGUAGGUGUGUGAUCUGAACAGAGAAGUAUGUAAUAUAGGUUGUAGUAGUCGAUGCAUGUUUCUGUCAUGCCUUUUUAAGUAAGCAGCAUUUGAUGUAUGCACCAACUCAUUUUUUUCCUUUUAGGUGGGUGGACAAGUGCUAAGGCAUUAAGGUGGGCAGGGAGGUGUUAAGGUAUUAGGAAAUUGGUUGGAUGUUGAUAUGUUGUCAUGUAAAAGGGUUCCUCUUGUAUCCAUACCUAAUAAAACUUAAUUUGGUUGACAAAGAAAAAAAAAAACAUGAGUUCGGAUUUAAUCCUGAAUUAAUAUCAUAUAUAGGUACAACAUAGAUCAAUCAUAAGAAACCAUUCGUAUUUUAUACUUCAAUGGCUGUUACCUGGUAGCUAUUAGCCAUAAUCCGUGUUGGGUUAACUACAAAUAGGUAAUGGUAGAACAGAGCCUCUAUGAAUGUAUUCUUAACCUUAAUAUGGUUCACACAAUCACACCACACAAGAAAGUAAAAUAGCCUACGUAUUCCACUUUCUUGAAGUCUUGUUACAAGACACAGCUAUUUAUGCCUAGUCAAAAUGGAUCUUGUAGCUGUAACCAUUCAACGGCAACCUCAGCUUGGCUUCCAACACACAAGUUUUCGUCUAGCCUGCUUCUGGAAGUAAUCAAGUAACUAUCACUUACUAGGUUGAUUUUGUUAAUGAUCUGCUGAAUCUAAUAACAUGGCAACCUGUGAAGUAUUUGAAUCUGUUAUGAGACAUAUUAAGUCACUAUUUCAAUGUACUUAAUUGAAGUUUACAUAGAAUAAACAAAUUGGAUUGAAAAUUGAGGGACAUAUUACUCAUAGGUCCGAAAAUUUUCAUUCCUCUUCAUUUUUUGUCAUGUAGCACACCCUUGUAUUUGCAGUCAAGUGCAACUGUGAACUUAUUAGGAUUA